rnacentral:rRNA from 1 species
UAAUAGUACAAGUAAAUUUUUUCGGUUAGUGAUAAGAUUGUUUUUUUUAAAUUAAAAUUUAUUUUCUAAGGUGAAAUUUGAAUUAAUAAAAAUUUUUUUUUUUAGUUGAUUUCUUUAAAUUCAUUAGUAAACUAGGAUUAGAUACCCUAUUAUUAGUAAUGUAGAUAAAUUGCUUUAUGAUUAAUAGUUAUUUUCUUUAAAGUAAAAAAAUUUGGCGGUAUUUUAAACCAAUCAGAGGAACCUGUUCUAUAAUUGAUAAUCCACGAUUAAAUUUACUUAUUUUUUAGGUUUACAUAUCGUUGUUUAAAAUAUGUUCUUAGAUUAUAUUUGUUGUUUAUGAAUCAUAAACUAGUUCAGAUCAAGGUGUAGCUUAUAAAUGAGAAGAAAUGGGUUACUUUAAUUUAUAAUUUGGGAUUAAAGUUUUUAAAAUUUUAUUAAUUUGGAUUUGAUAGUAAAUUUUUAUAUAUUUAAAUUUUGAUUAUGGCUCUAAAAU